rnacentral:rRNA from 1 species
UGGGGAAUAUUGCACAAUGGGCGCAAGCCUGAUGCAGCCAUGCCGCGUGUAUGAAGAAGGCCUUCGGGUUGUAAAGUACUUUCAGUCGGGAGGAAGGUGUCAAGGUUAAUAACCUUGGCAAUUGACGUUACCGACAGAAGAAGCACCGGCUAACUCCGUGCCAGCAGCCGCGGUAAUACGGAGGGUGCAAGCGUUAAUCGGAAUUACUGGGCGUAAAGCGCACGCAGGCGGUUGAUUGAGUCAGAUGUGGAAUCCCCGGGCUUAACCCGGGAAUUGCAUCUGAUACUGGUCAGCUAGAGUCUUGUAGAGGGGGGUAGAAUUCCAUGUGUAGCGGUGAAAUGCGUAGAGAUGUGGAGGAAUACCGGUGGCGAAGGCGGCCCCCUGGACAAAGACUGACGCUCAGGUGCGAAAGCGUGGGGAGCAAACAGG